CCUACGGGAGGCAGCAGUGGGGGAUAUUGCACAAUGGGGGGAACCCUGAUGCAGCGACGCCGCGUGGGUGACGGAGCGUUUCGGCGCGUAAAGCCCUAUCGGCAGGGAAGAAGGAGGACGGUACCUGACUAAGAAGCCCCGGCUAACUACGUGCCAGCAGCCGCGGUAAUACGUAGGGGGCAAGCGUUAUCCGGAUUUACUGGGUGUAAAGGGAGCGUAGACGACCAUGCAAGUCUGAUGUGAAAACCCGGGGCUCAACCCCGGGACUGCAUUGGAAACUGUGCGGCUGGAGUGUCGGAGAGGCAAGUGGAAUUCCUAGUGUAGCGGUGAAAUGCGUAGAUAUUAGGAGGAACACCAGUGGCGAAGGCGGCUUGCUGGACGACGACUGACGUUGAGGCUCGAAAGCGUGGGGAGCAAACAGGAUUAGAUACCCGUGUAGUC
rnacentral:rRNA from 1 species